rnacentral:rRNA from 1 species
UACGUAGGGUGCAAGCGUUGUCCGGAAUUAUUGGGCGUAAAGAGCUCGUAGGCGGUUUGUUGCGUCGGCUGUGAAAUCCCGAGGCUCAACCUCUGGCCUGCAUCCGAUACUGCCCGACUAGAGGUAGGUAGGGGAGAUCGGAAUUCCUGGUGUAGCGGUGAAAUGCGCAGAUAUCAGGAGGAACACCGGGUGGCGAAGGCGGAUCUCUGGGCCUUACCUGACGCUGAGGCGCGAAAGCUAGGGGAGCAAACAGG